UACGUAGGGGGCAAGCGUUGUCCGGAAUCAUUUGGGCGUAAAGCGCGCGUAGGCGGCCAGAUAAGUCCGGUGUGAAAGUCACAGGCUCAACCUGUGAAUGCCGCUGGAAACUGUCUGGCUUGAGUCCGGAAGGGGCGAGUGGAAUUCCUGGUGUAGCGGUGAAAUGCGCAGAUAUCAGGAGGAACACCAAUGGCGAAGGCAGCUCGCUGGAACGGUACUGACGCUGAGGCGCGAAAGCGUGGGGAGCGAACAGG
rnacentral:rRNA from 1 species